GGACGGGUGAGUAACACGUGGGCAACCUGCCCUGCAGACUGGGAUAACUCCGGGAAACCGGAGCUAAUACCGGGUAAUACAUCGCACCGCAUGGUGCAAUGUUGAAAGUUGGCUUUCUGAGCUAACACUGCAGGAUGGGCCCGCGGCGCAUUAGCUAGUUGGUAAGGUAAUGGCUUACCAAGGCGACGAUGCGUAGCCGACCUGAGAGGGUGAUCGGCCACACUGGGACUGAGACACGGCCCAGACUCCUACGGGAGGCAGCAGUAGGGAAUCUUCCGCAAUGGACGAAAGUCUGACGGAGCAACGCCGCGUGAGUGACGAAGGCCUUCGGGUCGUAAAGCUCUGUUGUUAGGGAAGAACAAGUACCGUUCGAAUAGGGCGGUACCUUGACGGUACCUAACCAGAAAGCCACGGCUAACUACGUGCCAGCAGCCGCGGUAAUACGUAGGUGGCAAGCGUUGUCCGGAAUUAUUGGGCGUAAAGCGCGCGCAGGCGGUCUUUUAAGUCUGAUGUGAAAGCCCACGGCUCAACCGUGGAGGGUCAUUGGAAACUGGAGGACUUGAGUGCAGAAGAGGAGAGUGGAAUUCCACGUGUAGCGGUGAAAUGCGUAGAUAUGUGGAGGAACACCAGUGGCGAAGGCGGCUCUCUGGUCUGUAACUGACGCUGAGGCGCGAAAGCGUGGGGAGCAAACAGGAUUAGAUACCCGGUAGUCCACGCCGUAAACGAUGAGUGCUAGGUGUUGGGGGGUUCCACCCUCAGUGCUGAAGUUAACACAUUAAGCACUCCGCCUGGGGAGUACGACCGCAAGGUUGAAACUCAAAGGAAUUGACGGGGGCCCGUACCAGGUCUUGACAUCCUCUGACAAUCCUGGAAACAGGACGUUCCCCUUCGGGGGACAGAGUGACAGGUGGUGCAUGGUUGUCGUCAGCUCGUGUCUUGAGAUGUUGGGUUAAGUCCCGCAACGAGCGCAACCCUUGAUCUUAGUUGCCAGCAUUUAGUUGGGCACUCUAAGGGGACUGCCGGUGACAAAC
rnacentral:rRNA from 1 species